rnacentral:rRNA from 1 species
AGUGAACGCUGGCGGUAGGCCUAACACAUGCAAGUCGAACGGCAGCACAGUAAGAGCUUGCUCUUACGGGUGGCGAGUGGCGGACGGGUGAGGAAUACAUCGGAAUCUACUUUUUCGUGGGGGAUAACGUAGGGAAACUUACGCUAAUACCGCAUACGACCUACGGGUGAAAGCAGGGGAUCUUGCGACCUUUCGCGAUCGAAUGAGCCGAGGUCGUAUUGGCUAGUUGGCGUGGUAAAGGCUCACCAAGGCGACGAACCGUAGCUGGUCUGAGAGGAUGAUGAGCCACACUGGGACUGAGACACGGUCCAGACUCCUACGGGAGGCAGAAUUGGGGAAUAUUGGACAAUGGGCGCAAGCCUGAUCCAGCCAUACCGCGGGGGUGAAGAAGGCCUUCGGGUUGUAAAGCCCUUUUGUUGGGGAAGAAAAGCAGCAGGUUAAUACCCCGCUGUUCUGACGGUAGCCAAAGAAUAAGCACCGGCUAACUUCGUG